rnacentral:lncRNA from 1 species
UAUUAGCUUUAUUACUAUAAAUACUAAUGAUUCCUGAAUAGGCUUUUUGUCUUUAACUUGAGACUCCUUCCUUCAUAACAGCUAUAUGACAACAGAGCAAGCUCUGAGGAGUGAGAUUUGAGAGCCUAGAGAAAAAAAAAAUCAAUAAAACUAAUUUGAGAACUCAUCUGAAACAAAGAAUUGUAUUCUCCAGAGACAUGAAUGGAAGAAAAGAGAAAGAGAGAGAGAGAAGAAAGUUGCCCGUGCUUCAUUCAUUUAACCUCUACUACCGUGCUGAACAGAAGUGAUGAAAGUGGACAUCUUUGCUUCAUUCGACUCUGAAUAGGAAAGCAUCCAGUCUUUCACCAUUAGGUAUGAUGUUAACUGUGGGUUUCGAUUCGUAGUUUGUUGAAUGCUUUUAUCAUGAA